UCAAACUUGGUCAUUUAGAGGAAGUAAAAGUCGUAACAAGGUUUCCGUAGGUGAACCUGCGGAAGGAUCAUUACCUUAACUAGCAUUUUUAAUGCUACUACCCUUUGUGAACCAAAACCUUUACGCUUCGGUAGCAGGCAGCCCCAACCUUGGUGCUGCUGUCAGCCUGCCGCUAGCACUCUUUAUAAACUCAUGUUUGCAUAAAACUUGUCUGAACAGAAUCAUUUUCGAAUGAAAUUAAAACUUUCAACAACGGAUCUCUUGGUUCUCGCAUCGAUGAAGAACGCAGC
rnacentral:misc_RNA from 1 species